UCGCAAUCCGCCAACCGGUCAAGCCGUGUCGCGGAAGGUUCAUAACCAGCCGAUAGCUCCGGAAGCCGGGGCAGAGGUGAGCG
rfam:Mitsuaria sp. 7, complete genome.